rnacentral:lncRNA from 1 species
GCGAAGGAAGGCGCUGCCUCGCGUUGGAGGAGCUUGCUCUGAGCUGCUGCCACCUGCUGGGCUGGAGCUGGAGCUGGAGCUGCGAAUUCGGAGUCCCGGUUCCCUGUGCCACCUGGCGAGCUCAGCAAACUAAAAGUCUCUUUGUCUUCAUCGUUUCCGGCACUGAUGUGAGCACAUCAUAAGCACAAGACCUGGACACCUUUACAAUCAGAGGGCCUAGGACUGGAGCUCUGGAUCUGACCGGAGCAAAGAGGAAGCACGCAAAUCCGGACAUGACGACGAGGAGGCAGUAGAGACCCAUCCUCAACUGUUCUUGUCCUAGAGCCUCUUUCCCUACUUCUAAAUGAGUGGAAAGCCACCCACAAGCCCGUGAGUGAGGAUGCCCUUGGUAAACCCAGGUGAUCACACCCUGGGCAGGCCCUGCCCCACAGGGCCCCAUCCCGCUGCUCCCCAGCCUGUCCUCACCAACUGCCCAGGCAGGAGCAAAGCCCACGGGGAGGACCUGUGACCACAGGCAAGGACCACGGACCCCAGCCCCAGGGAUUUUGACCUCAAGAAAGGAAACAUCCACAAUUUACCCUCCAUCUGGUGAUCCAGCUGCAUCUGGGGUGGGUUUGGUCUCUGCUGGGACCAUGAGGUUCAGACCACCAAGAAAUAGCACUAGCACAGGUGAAAAUCAUGGGCAAACUUUAUUGGCAUAAAUCACAGGAAUUGAAAUGGGAAAAGCCAGCUUGGAAGUUUACAGAGAAAAAAUAAAAUCAAAAUCAAAUUUUCAAAUAA